UAUGGCGAUAUCGCGGAUGACGUCGUAGCCGAUCAGAAGAAUUGCGCGCUUGAUCGUCGUGAUUUUCUCUGGGCUGCGAUGGUAAUACGGGCUAUUGGCAAUGACCAGGACCCGGGCGACAAAGGCCUGGUCACGGCGGAUCGUAUGGACAAGGAGAUCGACAUCAGUAGCCGGUGAUGAAAGCAGCGCAAUGAGUUUGGCCGACGUCUCGCGGAUAACAGGAAGGUGGCCCGCGAGCUUGUCGGUGAGCUCUGAGACAAGGCCGGGCGGAUCAG
rnacentral:misc_RNA from 1 species